rnacentral:lncRNA from 1 species
CCAAGCCCCUCUGUGUAAUCAAAGGAAACCUUUAAUAAGCUUGAACUCCUGAGAGAGAGGGGGUUAUUUUUGUGUGGAGAGAAGCUCACUCCAGGGAGAUGUGUGCCUGCCUCGUGGGUGGAUGCACUCUUGGGAUGCUCCUCCUGGCCCUUUGUGCACCAGUUGUCUUCUAACUGGAAAAUGAAGAGUCAAAAAGUCCUGAGGCCUUUCUGCCCUUCUCACUGAAAGGAAAAUGAACAGCCUGGUCAUAGGAUGAAUGUUGUCUUGGGUCACCAUCAAGAUCCUGACCUGCCUAAAUGAUGUGACACAAGGAAAGAGUGGCCAAAAUUUAUUAUUUUGGUCUCAAAAGACAACGAGUAGGAAACCACUAAUUAUCAAGAAAAUAUCAAGAUUUGAACAUGAAAAAUAUGGAUCAUGCAUGCAGAGGCUCACAUCUCUCUUUGGGUGUGUACGUGGCUCUCAGUUCCUCCUGGGAUUAGUGGCAGAACUUCAAAAAACCCUGAGCCAAGACCAGAUUUUCAGAGGUCCCCAGCAUCCCCCAGUU